CUAAGUGUGAAAGAGAACUUACAAAGUAAGGAUGUCGACGUACUUUGAACACGUGCUAUGAAUGUUUAUUAUUUAAUUGUUCAAAGUUAUUCCUUAAUAGCUAAGGGAAGACACUAGUGGAGAAUGGGGUUUCUACCCACAUUCACGAUCCCUGUUAACGGUAGUUUGACCUUUGACCGAUGAAGACCGUCGCGGUUAUGAUAAAAACACGGAGAACAGAUUGAGCCGUUAAAACAAGUCGUAUUAUAUUUACGAUUUUAUCCCUCAUUUUUACAACCCAUACCGCUACGGAUGAACGCAGCUUUUCCUAUGGUUCAGGUUUCUAGGCGGCCCCGUUCCCAUUUCUAUUUCUAUUGUGGCUUUCAUCUCUCUCCACUUUUAUCUUAUCUUAUCUCUCUCGCUUCGCCUCUCGGUUUCUCUCAGAACCAAAGAAAAAAGUGAACAACCCAUCCCCCUGUUUCAUUUUCAUACCAAUACGAAUCAUUGAUCAACAGAUCUGCAUAAUUGGUUCCUCCUUCUAACAAAGAUGAUGAUUCUAAACUGGAUAAAUCAAACAACCCUUCUAUAUGUCUAUUUAUCUGCUCUUCUUUCUCUGUAAAUUUCUGCUGUUGCUGCAAUCGGAAACCCUAACUCUUUGUAAAUAUCUAUAAAAUUCUUCACAGCCGAUCAACAUCCCCUUUUGUUCACCAACAACUUCCCCAACCCAAUCGUUGUUUUUCAUCAUCGCAAUCAGAAACCCUAACUCUCUCUUUCGAUAAUCAAAAGAUUUUUUAAGAUGUUAAACAAUUGAAGAUGUGGUGAAAUGAAAACCUUUUACUUCUCAAAUCUAGGGUUUUUUAAUUUUGUUUCUUUUCAAUAGAUUUUUGAUAGGAAUUUUUGUCUGUGUGUAGGUCAGAGUAUGAUAGAGGUGUGAAUACUUUCUCACCUGAAGGGAGAUUGUUUGAGGUUGGGCAUGGGACUGAAGAUAAUAAGCUUCGGUCAACUGCAACUGGGUUAAAGACUAAAUAAGGAGUGGUGCUUAUUGUUGAGAGCGUAUCACUUCGCCAUUGCUGGAGCCUAGUAGAGUGGAGAAACUUAUGGGAACCGAUGAGCAUAUAGGUUGUGCUAUGGGGGGACUUAUUGUUUAUACUCGUACACUUCUUGAACAUGCACGAGUCAAAAGUCAGAUAAGCCAACCCGAAGAUUGGUAGCGUGACCACCAACUGUCUUGCUCCCCUUGCAAAGUCUGGUAGCCUGGCCACCAACUGUCGUGCUUCCCUUGCAAAGGUCACAGUGACAGAUUAGGCACUUUUGAGGGUCUCAUGGCCACUGUAUAUGCAAUGUCUGCAACACAAAUGACUUUUGAUGGUUCAUCGCCCAAGGACUGGAGAGGUGGAAGAGAUGCUUCAUUCAGUAUCAUUCCUAGCCGCACUGUUACUGGUGGCUUUACCUAGGCUGCCACACAUGAAGAAUACUUCACAAUUAGAAUAUGUCUUUCCAUACAUCUUUUCCAUAAAUGUGAUUCACUGAUGUUUCAGAUUAUAAGUUGAUGAAUGAUAAGAUAAAAGUUGCUUGAAUAAUUCUGUUGAGUAUUAUAUGACCUACCCACAUUAAUCAGCUGAUUGGGGGAUUUAUUUUUGCAUUGCAGGAACGCCAUUAUGAAAUAUAGGUUAAGUUCAUCAUCAACGGAGUUCAUCGUUUUGUUGUUUAUCAUUUUGUAACUGAAUCUUAGAACGUAACUACUUUUCUGGUCUGAACUUAAGGAUUUACACUUUUCUGGUCUGAACUUAAGGAUUUACACUUUUCUGUGUAAUUUGAAUUGGAAGACUAUAUGUGUGCAACUUUUCUGUGUAAUUUGAACCUAAUCAGUGUUGAAUUGGAAGACUAUUUGUGUGGAAGUUAAAUUUCAUUCUCA